CUUCACCGUGCCCAGCCACAGCGGACGGCCGGUCGGCCGGUUGCGCCCGUACGUCGCAAGCAGCGCCUGCGCCUC
rnacentral:antisense_RNA from 1 species